CCUCCAUUUCUUGGUGGAGACCAGGCAUGCAGUCCUGUUCUCCAUUACAUACGGAGGCAGAAGGAAAGGGCUCAAGCCCUCUUGGUAUCAUGUCUUCAGUGCCAGUGACUUCUAUUUGCCAGUUCUGGGACACGC